rnacentral:lncRNA from 13 species
CUUAAUGUUCUGGUCCAUAGAGGUCAGAGUACGACCCUAACAUAGACUUAAUGUUCUGGUCCAUAGAGGUCCAGUAUGUUCUGGUCCAUAGAGGUCCAGUAUGUUCUGGUCCAUAGAGGUCCAGUAUGUUCUGGUCCAUAGAGGUCCAGUAUGUUCUGGUCCAUAGACCUCCAGUAUGUUCUGGUCCAUAGACCUCCAGUAUGUUCUGGUCCAUAGAGGUCCCACCAUA